UACGUAGGGUGCAAGCGUUAAUCGGAAUUACUGGGCGUAAAGCGUGCGCAGGCGGUUUUGUAAGACUGUCGUGAAAUCCCCCGGGCUCAACCUGGGAAUGGCGAUGGUGACUGCAAGGCUAGAGUUUGGCAGAGGGGGGGGUAGAAUUCCACGUGUAGCAGUGAAAUGCGUAGAUAUGUGGAGGAACACCGAUGGCGAAGGCAGCCCCCUGGGUCAAAACUGACGCUCAUGCACGAAAGCGUGGGGAGCAAACAGG
rnacentral:rRNA from 1 species